rnacentral:rRNA from 1 species
GACGAACGCUGGCGGCGUGCUUAACACAUGCAAGUCGAACGGAAAGGCCCUGCUUUUGUGGGGUGCUCGAGUGGCGAACGGGCGAGUAACACGUGAGUAACCUGCCCUUGACUUUGGGAUAACUUCAGGAAACUGGGGCUAAUACCGGAUAGGAGCUCCUGCUGCAUGGUGGGGGUUGGAAAGUUUCGGCGGUUGGGGGUGGACUCGCGGCUUAUCAGCUUGUUGGUGGGGUAGUGGCUUACCAAGGCUUUGACGGGUAGCCGGCCUGAGAGGGUGACCGGCCACAUUGGGACUGAGAUACGGCCCAGACUCCUACGGGAGGCAGCAGUGGGGAAUAUUGCACAAUGGGCGGAAGCCUGAUGCAGCAACGCCGCGUGCGGGAUGACGGCCUUCGGGUUGUAAACCGCUUUCGCCUGUGACGAAGCGUGAGUGACGGUAAUGGGUAAAGAAGCACCGGCUAACUACGUG